rnacentral:lncRNA from 1 species
GUGCUGAAAGACUUCCUGUAUUUGGCCGAUGAAAGGAAGCAGAAGGAAUCUCAUAGCCCGGGAUACCUUCCACCACAGAGGAGGACUCUGGUUAUGGGAGAAGUGCCAGAGCUGAACAGCGGGGUACCGGCGACAACACGAGUGCCCGACAGGGUAUGCUUGACGACGUCACAUCCCUUACAACAAUGGGUUAGUGCUUCCGUUUGCAGGUCAGUCCUGCAUCUGGUAGAUCGUCUGUGCAACUCGGCCGAUUGCAUCCCAGAGGUUCGAACAACGGAAGCGUCGUUGAACGAUCCGUAUUUAAGCCUGUGGAUUGCACCAGCGCUGGUAAAAUCCUCGUCCCAGUACGACAACACGAAGACUUCCCAACGAUUUUUUGCUCCCCCUGCAUCUGUUAAGCGGUACAUACAGUGAGCGUUUUGUCCGGAACGGAUUUUGCAACCGUGUUGCCACAGAGCGAAUACAUGGAUGGCGCCACGUCGUAUCAACUACUUGGACUGCUCAAACAGGGGGCAUGACGUGCCCCACACCCGAGACAGCAACGUAACAGCAGACGCGGAAAAGAAUGACGAGAAGGCACGUCACAACCCAAAAUGCCUCUGCAGUGACCCGCUGACGAACCAGUUUCAGGAAGUUCAGCGACUGAACGAGGGAAAGACGCGGUGCGCGGCAGGGGCCGGUGGGAACGGGGAGCGGAAGCAGGUGACUUUGCCCACCUUCGCCAGUUAUUUCGCGGGUCUCACGAAUUCGUGUUUCCCUUGUCGAUAGAGUCAAACAUGCGCUUCGGACAAGCUUUAUUGUUUUGGAGGGUCCAGCGUGAAACUAGAAAAAGCAUCGUUCAAGAGGCAGUGCAGGAUUACAGCCCACUCCGCCACGGAAUUACAUGCUGCGAUACCCGUCAACGAAGAGGACCCUGAGCAGAAUGAUAUUUGUAAUUUGGUAAGCGUCAUUCCACCUGCAUCGAUUCGUGGCUCAAAAUGAGGCGAGCAUUGUUUUUGCGUAGUGCCUUAUGCACAAGAAAGAUUCUCUGCACCCGGGACCUCCUGUACUUUUCACUCUCGAAUGUGGUAAGGUAGAAUGACGUUGCCACAAAGACAACUUGUUGCACCUUCAACAAACUCAGGGCACGAAUAUCAUUUGGCAUGGUAAGUCAAUGCCUAGAUGGAAUGCGGCUAGUUCCUCCUAAUGAUCGUGAGAUCAAUAGUUUAUCAGAGUGUGUGUCUAGGAGGGAGUGCAGAAAAGACUGUCCCAUCUGCACCAAACCAGUCGAGGAGGAUGACAUCAGAAAGAUAUUGACCAAGAGAAAACUUCUCAAAAGAGGCAUGCAAAUGCAGCAGAAGCAGCUCGCACGGGCUGUAGCGGAAGCUGUUGUCUGACAACUCUGCUCUGAAUGCAACGGGCGAAGCCUGUGUACUGUGUUUUCUGCUUUCGGACUCGUGUUUGUAAAUAUAAAAGAGAUGUGUGAGAUGCCGGUCGCUGUGGGCACCCUGCACGUAUUAUUAACUGGGCUAUGUUCGCCCUAAGAAUCUGCUUUAGACUGGAAUGAAUUGCUUAAAGGCAGUCUUGAUGACAAUCUACAGGUUGCUCCCCUCCCGCUCAACACUGACAAGCUG